UACUGUUAGUGAUGAAGCCUAAACAGAUGGGAAUCUCUCUGAAUGAGAAUGAAGCUUUAUUUUAAACUGAAACAGUA
ensembl:snoRNA SNORD79 Small nucleolar RNA SNORD79